rnacentral:lncRNA from 1 species
GCGGGUUUUUUUUCAGGGCUCCGGGUGGGGUUGUGGGAAGCGGUCGGCUCUCAGAGGGUCUAUGGAUUUCGGGUGGAAACCUGAAGGUGUCGCGUCGGCCAGCUGGCGUGGGUCUUCUAUUAAGAGAUCGAGUAUCUUAUCCUCAGAGCUUAAACGUUGUAAUAGUUGCAGUUUUUAAUGCUUUAUUUAAAAUGUUAAAUUCUUAUCCCUCCUGCAAUCAGCUGUUCAUGAGAGAAGUACAUCUCUACAAGGCACUCCAGUAUGAACUCCAUUGUGACUCGCAGAAUCAGAGCAUGGCUGAGUUGGAAGGGACCUCAGGCAAAACUGGAUGAGUUUUAGCAGCCAGACUCCUGAUUCAAGUUGUGCCUGGAAGCUGCAGUCUUCUUUGUGCAGACGGGGGAUCACAGGAGUACAGCUUUCUGUUGAGUGCUGCAUUAAUGCUACUCAGGUUCUACAGAAGUGACUCAACAUCCCACAGGCCUGCCAGGAUGACAUGUCCAUUGCAGGAUACGGUGCUGGCUUUGCUACAGAACAACUACUGACAGCCUUCUCAAUCCCAUUCUGCAGCUCAGGAAAAGAUCUGCACUCGGAAAAGUUCCAAUUAAGAAGAAGGAGCAACAAUAAUAACAACAGAAAAAAAUGGCAAACUUUAGAAACUGACCUUAAAAGUGGCACUUUGUGGACCACCCCAUACAUGCUGAGGCACAUUCCUGAACAGAUAAUUUUUGCAUUUGUUUUUGCUAUCUGUUUUCAGAGAACAGCAUUAGUGUCAUUAUCAUGUUCCUGGCAGUGAAGUAUAGAGAAUGUUACCACUGAUUCCAGCAGCAAUGUCAUCAGUGCAACAGUACAGCAAUUUUGAAUACUGGAAAUAUGGGUUAUAUCCAUUUGAUGUGACAAAUUUACACAAAAUAAACCAGCAUUAAUAAAACUGUUGUAGAAAUGU